rnacentral:rRNA from 1 species
UGUGAAACCGCGAACGGCUCAUUACAACAAGCUAUUAUUUACUUGAUUUUGAUUGCAUACGUGGAUAACUGUGGCAAUUCUAGAGCUAAUACAUGCAGCAAAGCUCCGACUGCAUUCACUCAGCGAUGAGCGAAUGGCGACGAGCGCAUCUAUUAGACUAAAAACCAAUGGAGAUGUAGGCGACAACAACGAUUGCUGUUGCUGAUCUCGUUCAUUUGGUGACUCUGAAUAGCUUAGCUGAUCGCAUGGUGAUAUACCGGCGACGUAUCUAUCAAGUAUCUGCCUUAUCAACUUUCGAUGGUAGUUUAUGUGACUACCAUGGUUGUAACGGGUAACGGAGAAUAAGGGUUCGACUCCGGAGAGGGAGCCUGAGAAACGGCUACCACUUCCAAGGAAGGCAGCAGGCGCGCAAAUUACCCACUCUCAGCACAGAGGAGGUAGUGACGAAAAAUAACGAGACCGUACUCGAUGAGGCCGGUUAUUGGAAUGGGCACAACCUAAACGCGUUAACGAGGAUCAAUGAGAGGGCAAGUCUGGUGCCAGCAGCCGCGGUAAUUCCAGCUCUCAAAGUGUAUAUCGGCAUUGCUGCGGUUAAAAAGCUCGUAGUUGGAUGUCAGCCUUACGACGUGGUCCAUUCAUUGAAUGCGAACGACGCCUCGUAGGCUCAUUGAAUGUCGGUUUUUCCUUGCGUCGCUCUGAACGGCAGCGUAAGGUGGCUGACGAGUUUACCUUGAAAAAAUUAGAGUGCUCAACGCGGGCUCAUGACGCUCGAAUACUGUUGCAUGGAAUAAUGGAAGAAGACUUCGGUUCUAUUUUGUUGGUUUUCUGAUCUGAGGUAAUGGUUAAGAGGGACAGACGGGGGCAUUCGUAUCGCUGCGUGAGAGGUGAAAUUCUUGGACCGUAGCGAGACGUCCCACUGCGAAAGCAUUUGCCAAGAAUGUUCUCAUUAAUCAAGAACGAAAGUCAGAGGUUCGAAGGCGAUCAGAUACCGCCCUAGUUCUGACCGUAAACGAUACCAACUAGCGUUCCGUCAGCAGUAAUUACGCCUUGACGGGCAGCUUUCCGGAAACGAAAGUUUUUCGGUUCCGGGGGAAGUAUGGUUGCAAAGCUGAAACUUAAAGAAAUUGACGGAAGGGCACCACCAGGAGUGGAGCCUGCGGCUUAAUUUGACUCAACACGGGAAAACUCACCUGGCCCGGACACCGUGAGGAUUGACAGAUUGAGAGCUCUUUCUUGAUUCGGUGGUUGGUGGUGCAUGGCCGUUCUUAGUUGGUGGAGUGAUUUGUCUGGUUUAUUCCGAUAACGAACGAGACUCUAGCCUACUAAAUAGUUGGCGAAUAGUGAUGUGUUCGCGUGAGCAUGCGCAUGCGCUUAUGUAUGUGGACGCUUGUGCACAUGUGUAAUGUUUGUUAUGCAUGUGUGCUUGCGUAUGUCACAUAGUAUGCGUGUGUGUUGUGUUUACGCGUAGCAGUUGUUCGUACGACUUCUUAGAGGGACAAGCGGUGUUCAGCCGCAUGAAGUAGAGCAAUAACAGGUCUGUGAUGCCCUUAGACGUCCAGGGCUGCACGCGCGCUACACUGGAGGAAUCAACGUGCAAUGUCCGUUGUCGAGAGGCAACGGUAACCGAUUGAAAAUCCUCCGUGCUCGGAAUCGGGAAUUGCAAUUAUUUCCCUUGAACGAGGAAUUCCUAGUAAGUGUGAGUCAUCAGCUCACGCUGAUUACGUCCCUGCCCUUUGUACACACCGCCCGUCGCUGCCCGGGACUGAGCCGUUUCGAGAAAAGCGGGGACCGCUGUUGUCGAUUGUUCAGCAUGAUGCCGCCGGCUUACGAUACGUUCGUCUGG